CCUACGGGAGGCAGCAGUGGGGGAUAUUGCACAAUGGGGGGAACCCUGAUGCAGCGACGCCGCGUGGGUGAAGGAGCGUUUCGGUGCGUAAAGCCCUAUCGGCAGGGAAGAAGGAGGACGGUACCUGACUAAGAAGCCCCGGCUAACUACGUGCCAGCAGCCGCGGUAAUACGUAGGGGGCAAGCGUUAUCCGGAUUUAUUGGAUUUAAAGGGUGCGUAGGCUGUGAGGUAAGUCAGCGGUGAAAUGCCCCCGCUCAACGGGGUGAAGUGCCAUUGAUACUGCCUUGCUGGAAUGCGGAUGCCGUGGGAGGAAUGUGUGGUGUAGCGGUGAAAUGCAUAGAGAUCACACAGAACACCGAUUGCGAAGGCAUCUCACGAAUCCGCGAUUGACGCUGAUGCACGAAAGCGUGGGUAUCAAACAGGAUUAGAUACCCGUGUAGUC
rnacentral:rRNA from 1 species